CUACUUUAACGACAGGACUCCACCAAACGACCUUCCUUUCUCCUCCCAAAAAGCAAACUGGUCUAAAAAAGCUUAAGGUUUUCGGUAAGGAAUUUAUUGAGUAUUUUCUCGUAUGUUCGUAAGUGAUUUUCUAGAUAAUUUAACUUAAAAUUUUAAAUGAUCUUGAUGCAUGAAUAUGAAACAUGAUUUGUUCACCAUCUGAUAUGAAUAUGAACAUGUGAAAUAAAAUGCAUGAUUGACUCAACGCAUGAUGAUUUGAAGUAUCUGCGAGUUUGGCCCUUUGCCUUUUCUUUGGUGAUAGUAGAGAGGGUCGUUCUAUUGGACUUUGGUUUGAGAGGAUGUC
rnacentral:lncRNA from 1 species